rnacentral:misc_RNA from 1 species
UUGAUUUUAGUUAUUUGUGAACGUACUACGAGCAAACAAAAAAUAUUAUAGUCAAAAAAAAAUUAAAUCA